rnacentral:rRNA from 1 species
ANUNNAACGCUGGCCGGCAGGCGCUAACNCAUGACAAGUCGNNCGGUAACAGAGAGUAGCUUGCUACUUUGCUGACGAGCGGCGGACGGGUGAGUAAUGCUUGGGAACAUGCCUUGAGGUGGGGGACAACAGUUGGAAACGACUGCUAAUACCGCAUAAUGUCUACGGACCAAAGGGGGCUUCGGCUCUCGCCUUUAGAUUGGCCCAAGUGGGAUUAGCUAGUUGGUGAGGUAAUGGCUCACCAAGGCGACGAUCCCUAGCUGGUUUGAGAGGAUGAUCAGCCACACUGGGACUGAGACACGGCCCAGACUCCUACGGGAGGCAGCAGUGGGGAAUAUUGCACAAUGGGCGCAAGCCUGAUGCAGCCAUGCCGCGUGUGUGAAGAAGGCCUUCNGGUUGUAAAGCACUUUCAGUCAGGAGGAAAGGUUAGUAGUUAAUACCUGCUAGCUGUGACGUUACUGACAGAAGAAGCACCGGCUAACUCCGUGCCAGCAGCCGCGGGUAAUA